UAUAUAUAUUUUCCUUUGCAAGAGUCCCUGCUGGUUUAUUUUUCCCUCAAAUUGAUAUUACAGUGGAAAUGAUUGGCACCUUGUCUUCUAAAUUAAAUCCUGUUUGGAGCAUGACUAUGUAGAAUGCCAGCUAAAGGACUGUGAGAUGGCAUCCCCUAGAAGCUAUUGAGGUAGGAUUAUUGAAGUUGAUUUCCUUGGAAAACAGAUUGCUGUAGCUCAUUACGUACUUGGAAGCAAGCUAAGUAGAAACCAGCCAGCCAAGAAAAUGUUGACUUGUGUAUGCCUUUGCUCAGGAACAGAUAACAACCUGCUUUUAAUGCAGCCGGAACCUGUCUGUUGGCCAGAUGUACACAAUGAAAUAAGAAGUCCUUAUUGACAUUUAUCUGAAGACACUUAUGGUGUCUUUGGUUAAAAGGGACCAGAUUUCACUCUGUACCCUAGUCUAAGGCUACAGAAAAAUUAAAGCCUUAGGAAAUGAAUUCUUUGUUUGGAGUAUUAAAUGUCAGUCGGGCCACAAAAAUCAAAAGCUCUUUGUAGAUGAAAUUUUAGUAUGCAUCACUACCAAGUAACAUGGCCUUUGGAUUCCAGGUGAUGCAGCUUAGCAUUUAAAUGUUGUGAGGCUGCUUCUUAGAUAGCUUUCAUACCAGAUCCGAAAAAGCUUUCCGGAUUUAGGAGUUACUUUGUGUGACCCGAGACUUUGUAAAGGAAACCAUAUGUGUCCCAUUAAAGUCCAGUACAAGCCAGCAAUUAGUUCCAAGUUCUUUAAGGCUUUCUAGAGCAACCCAUAGUACAGGUAGAGCAUCAUAAUAAGGCUCAUUUAAGUAAUCUAUGCAUGGCUACACUUCAGUCUUUUAAUAUACUGUAGUGCCUGGUAGGGUAAAUGUAAGUAGCAGUUUAUUUCAGGGGAGUUAUCAGUGUUUAGAAACUAAGUAAAAUUGGCUGCAUAAAACUGGGUAUUAAGCCAGAGGUGUGAAAAUUCACGACUCUGGAGGUAACAUUGCAAUAAAAGGGGCAUUAGGGGACUAGAAAAAUGUGUACUCCUUUGCCGGUGUAACUUAGCAGAAACACUGUUGGCUCCUUCUAGGCCUAAAUUGUCUAAUGAUCUGUAAAAGCCAUAUAUCUAGAAUUAGCUGUAUGACUAUGUAAUGUCAGGCAAAGUAACCGAAGUUGAGACAACAGGCACUUUGUCAACAUUUUGUCUCAACUUGGAAGCCGGUAACAGUGUAGAUUUUUAAGUGCAAUUGAUUAAAUAAUAGACGAAGUUACUGUAGGGUAUUUUGCUCCUCUGAACUCUUUUUAAGAACGCCAAUUUGUGCAGCUCUUGAAAAUUUGAAUGUGAAUGGGCUCAUUCAUCUCGUGUUACUUUAAAACUUGCUAUAUACCAAGGGAUGCCCUGUGAACAAAAAGGAGCUCAUAAAAGUGCUCCAAUUUAGUUUCUUGCUGCACAGAUUGAGCAGUUUUUAAAGCCUGUAUCAGAAGAGAUCACCACAAGAAAGGCAUAGUAUACAUAUUAUAUGCUGUACUGCAUGCUGAGUGGUAACAAUAACUGUGUAAUAUGAUGAAGACCUUUCACCAUACUGGUACUAUUUCAAUUAAUAUAUUUUGGUAUUGAAAUAAUUUGAUUACCUCAGCUUUUUCAUGUUUGACUGUGAUUUUUGGGGAAAAAAAAUACCGAAAUAGAGAAACUGUGACAGUGGUAUCCUUUAAACAUAGCAGUGCCUUGCACAUGACGUCACUGAUGCACUAAGCAUGUUACAAAAGUGGAUGUCAUGGGUUGUAUUGCUUGCACCCUUUUUUUUUAAAGGAGAAACGGUUUUGGUGAAAGGACUUAAAAUUAACCUAGUGGAAAAUAUUAGCACAUGUGGUUCAAUUUUUUAAGGGGGGGGGG